rnacentral:misc_RNA from 1 species
GAUGAAGAACGUAGCGAAAUGCGAUAAGUAAUGUGAAUUGCAGAAUUCAGUGAAUCAUCGAAUCUUUGAACGCACAUUGCGCCCGCCAGUAUUCUGGCGGGCAUGCCUGUUCGAGCGUCAUUUCAACCAUCAAGCCCCAGGCUUGUGUUGGAGCCCUGCGGCUGCCGCAGCCUCCCAAAACCAGUGGCGGGCUCGCUAUCACACCGAGUGCAGUAGUUUACUCUUCGCUCAGGGCGUGUGGCGGGUGCUAGCCGUAAAACCCCCAGCUUCUCAAGGUUGACCUCGGAUCAGGUAGGAAUACCCGCUGAACUUAAGCAUAUCAAUAAGCGGAGGA